UAGGGAAUCUUGCGCAAUGGGCGAAAGCCUGACGCAGCCAUGCCGCGUGAAUGAUGAAGGUCUUAGGAUUGUAAAAUUCUUUCACCGGGGAAGAUAAUGACGGUACCCGGAGAAGAAGCCCCGGCUAACUCCGUGCCAGCAGCCGCGGUAAUACGAAGGGGGCUAGCGUUGCUCGGAAUUACUGGGCGUAAAGGGCGCGUAGGCGGAUGUUUAAGUCGGGGGUGAAAGCCCGGGGCUCAACCUCGGAACUGCCUUCGAUACUGGACAUCUUGAGUACGGGAGAGGUGAGUGGAACUCCGAGUGUAGAGGUGAAAUUCGUAGAUAUUCGGAAGAACACCAGUGGCGAAGGCGACUCACUGGCCCGUUACUGACGCUGAGGCGCGAAAGCGUGGGGAGCAAACAGGAUUAGAUACCCUGGUAGUCCACGCCGUAAACGAUGAGUGCUAGUUGUCGGCAUGCAUGCAUGUCGGUGACGCAGCUAACGCAUUAAGCACUCCGCCUGGGGAGUACGGUCGCAAGAUUAAAACUCAAAGGAAUUGACGGGGUCAUA
rnacentral:rRNA from 1 species